GUGCCAGCAGCCGCGGUAAUACGUAGGUGGCAAGCGUUGUCCGGAUUUAUUGGGCGUAAAGGGAACGCAGGCGGUUUUUUAAGUCUGAUGUGAAAGCCUUCGGCUUAACCGAAGUCAUGCAUUGGAAACUGAAAGACUUGAGUGCAGAAGAGGAGAGUGGAACUCCAUGUGUAGCGGUGAAAUGCGUAGAUAUAUGGAAGAACACCAGUGGACGAAAGCGGCUCUCUGGUCUGUAACUGACGCUGAGGUUCGAAAGUGUGGUAGCAAACAGGAUUAGAUACCCUGGUAGUCCACACCGUAAACGAUGAAUGCUAAGUGUUGGAGGUUUCCGCCUUGGUGCUGCAGCCUAACGCAUUAAGC
rnacentral:rRNA from 1 species